UUUCACAUAUAAGCUAAUAUUUCUUGGGACUUGAAUCUCAGUAAUUUUGUGACAGUAGACUUGUAGUUCUCUAUAAUUGCUUUGCAUUUGUUUCUUUUAGGAAUGUAAAAACAUUAUCUUGGGUGUUUCUCAAUUAUACUAAUAAUGCAGAAUUGAGAUAGUAAGUCACAUAUGAUUCAAGCACAUGAUUAGAAAUUUUUAUUUUCCCUUAUAUUUAAACCUUAGAGAAAAGCUUCCUUGUCACCACCUCCAUGCUACUAAGUUGAUUUUCUUACACUUCACUCUUUUAAAGAUGAUAUAAAGAAUGCAUUUCGGAAGCCUUAGAUUUUAGUACUGGCUGUUUACUGUGUGACCCUAAUUCACAUGGAGCCUUAAUGUCCUUUUUAGAAAUGUUAGAAAACAGUCUAUUGUAUCUAAUGCUAAGAAGAAUAUUCUUCGUUGGACUUAUAGCAAUCCUACUUGUCUUUCCGGUGUGCCUCGAAGACUCUGACCACUCUUCCAUGGGUCAUUUUUCAAGAUUGUUUAUGUACCUGGUGACUUUCGCAGAAGAAACAAAUGCCAGUCACUUUCCAGCCGCCAACACUGAAUUUUGAAAAGGAGGCGAAAUGUUACAAGGCCAACAAAUGCCAGAAGAAUAACGCAAGGAAUCUCACCUCAAACUGAGAGCACAUAGUCAAGCAGUAGCCAUGGGAGACCUGACUCUAAUCUCAGUUUUGUUAAUCUCCCUUAGGUUUCAAAGCAUAACUAAACAAUAAUUAAUUCUUUUCCACACACUGACCUUAGGAAUGAGUGAUACACAUGACUUAUCUACCAAAAUGGAUAUGUUGAGUUUUAGCCCUUCUCCUCCUUUUGCUUUUAGUUAUUUGUCUUUAUUCUAGUAGCUUCUCUAGCGUCCCAAACUGCUGAAAUCUGUUGUUGUGUGUGGGGAUUAUCAGUAAACCAGCUUUCAAUUACCACACAAAGUUAUACAACGAUGAUAUUAGUAAUAAAUAUACAAAUGUAACAAUAAAAAUCUUUUUACCGUGCUUGCUAAAUUUCAGACAUUGUGUUAAGGACUUUACAUAUAUGAUCCCUUUUACUUUUCACAACAACUCUAUGAAGUAUUAGAAUCUCUGUUGAGCAGAUGAACAGAUUAAAAAUGAAAAAAUAAAUUGCCUCAUAGUUCACAACUAGUAAGUGGAAGAGCUUUUCCUCAAACCUAUACGUAUCUAAUGUUGAAGGCUGCUUUUACUAUUACAUUCCACGGUGUCCUAAUAAAAUAAAUCACAUUUUUUGUCACUUGAGGGCUCUAAGAAAAGUCUAUUUUAGCACUAAAUAUUAGAGGACAAGAAUAUUUGUGGUUUACUUUAAGUAGUUUGAAGGAUGCUUCAUGUGAGUGAUCUGGAUUUUGCUAUUUAUAAAUCACAUGUUGACUACUGCAAGAAUUCCUAGUGGGUGGAGAAAAUCCUGGGCCCCCAAAGUUGACUUCUCAGCUACAAGAAUCUUUAGUUCUCACCACCUGUCCACACCGCCACUUCCUUUCUUCUAAAGAUCCGACUGGGGCCUUCUCGUUCAGAAAAGUCUUUACAUUGCCUUCCACUUGUUUAGA
rnacentral:lncRNA from 1 species